rnacentral:rRNA from 1 species
AUUGAACGCUGGCGGAAUGCUUUACACAUGCAAGUCGAACGGUAGAGGGGGCAACCCCUUGAGAGUGGCGAACGGGUGAGUAAUAUAUCGGAACGUGCCCAGUCGUGGGGGAUAACGUAGCGAAAGUUACGCUAAUACCGCAUACGAUCUAAGGAUGAAAGCGGGGGACCGUAAGGCCUCGCGCGAUUGGAGCGGCCGAUAUCAGAUUAGGUAGUUGGUGGGGUAAAGGCUCACCAAGCCAACGAUCUGUAGCUGGUCUGAGAGGACGACCAGCCACACUGGAACUGAGACACGGUCCAGACUCCUACGGGAGGCAGCAGUGGGGAAUUUUGGACAAUGGACGCAAGUCUGAUCCAGCCAUUCCGCGUGCAGGAUGAAGGCCCUCGGGUUGUAAACUGCUUUUGUACGGAACGAAAAGGUUUCUCUUAAUACGAGGAGCUCAUGACGGUACCGUAAGAAUAAAGCACCGGCUAACCUAACGUG